GAUGAAGAACGUAGCGAAAUGCGAUAAGUAAUGCGAAUUGCAGAUUUCAGUGAGUCAUCGAAUCUUUGAACGCACAUUGCGCCCGCCAGUAUUCUGGCGGGCAUGCCUGUCCGAGCGUCAUUUCAACCAUCAAGCCCCGGGCUUGUGUUGGGGACCUGCGUCCGACGCAGGCCCUGAAAACCAGUGGCGGGCUCGCUGUCCACACCGAGCGUAGUAACUAACCUCGCUAUGGAGUGGCGCGGGCGCCUGCCGUAAAACCCCCAAUUUCACAAGGUUGACCUCGGAUCAGGUAGGAAUACCCGCUGAACUUAAGCAUAUCAAUAAGCGGAGGA
rnacentral:misc_RNA from 1 species